rnacentral:rRNA from 1 species
GUCUAUGGUCAUGCUAACCUAACAAGCUCAAUCCCAUCUGAUCUAGGAAGCUAAGCAGGGUCAGGCCUGGUUAGUACUUGGAUGGGAGACCAUGUACAAAGACCAGGUGCUGCAGAUG